UGUUGCCUGUAGUGGAGAAGAUCAAGGAGACCCAUGGAGACUCAGCAGACAAGGCCCAGAAGAAGAAGAUCGGUAAGUUGCCCAAAUAGCUGCACUUGGCCUCUUCUCACCCUCUGAUUGAUCUUCAGAAAGAGAAGAGGAGAAGCUAAAGAACAACAACCGCGACCUCUCGUUUGUAAGUAGAUAUCACCACAAUGUGAAGAAGGAAUAUAUUCUAGGUGCUGUUUGUACCUAAGUGAAAAUAUUGAGAUUGUCCGACUCCCCCAUUCUAUCUACUCACCAUACCACUAGGUUCUACUAAGCAAUAAAGCCAUAUUAAGCUCAAUUUUUUUUUUUCAAAUAAAGCACUUACUGCGAUGAAAAAUAUUGGGAGGGCUUGGCUCAUCAGUGGUGAACCCAUCCAGUGGUUGCAUUAUAAUCUAAUGUACUGCUUUUUAGAGCUGUAAUACCGUGUUGAAUGAAUGUACUUAUAUAUGCUAUACUGUAAAUGUGGAAUCUUGGUUAUGGUUUUUAAGAGCAAACAAUGGAUAUCUAAGAACAGUAGGAUUACAUAUAAAUAACUGCAUUGAGCAAUGCUCUUCUGCAAACAAUUUAAACAAGACUUGUUAGGCUUGGAAUUAAUUAUAAGGCACCUCAAGGUAAUAAGACCAAAUAAAUAAAUAGUGUGUGACGUUUCGGCAACAACCCUGUUACGGAAACGUUACGCACUAUUUACUUGGAUUUGGUAUAUUACCUUGUGUUUCUAAUCUAUAAUCCAAAUUGUAUCUUAUUGUUGAAGGACACUGAAAAGUUUAUUUGAAGAAGAAAAUUUUGUGCUUAAUAGUUUUAUUAUAUAUAUUUAUAUAUAGAUGGCACAUUAUAAUUGAUUGGUUAUAAUCUAAAAUUUAAAAGGCUCAAUUUGGAUUAUAGAUUAUAAUCACACUUCACACUUUGCAACUUCCAAGCAAUUAAGCAUUCUGCAGUGCAACAUAAAUGGAUUGUGCUCAACAGCAACAAAAAUAAAAUUAGAAGAAAUAAUGGAAAAAGCUGAAAAACAAAGGAUACAAAUUAUAGCCCUACAGGAAACCAAAUUAAAUGAAAAGUACAAUCUCAAAUAUAAAAACUACAAUAUCCUCAGAAAAGACCGAAAUAAAGAAGAGGGUGGCCUUGCAUUUUUAAUCAAGAAUUUGUACUAUGAAGACAUAGCCAUUAAUAUUCCAAACACAUCAGACCUAGAAGCCCAAGGUAUCAAAGUCUACCUCAAUCAAAACAAAACCAUCAACAUAUUCAAUAUGUAUCACCCACCAAACAAUAAACUUAUUGACGAUGGAACAAUGGCUCAAUUUCUUACAGACAACACUAUUAUUGUAGGUGACCUUAAUGCCAAACAUCAACUAUGGGAAUGUUCCACGCCAAACCCAAGAGGAAAAAUACUUUCAAACUUAUUUGACGACAAUGCCUUCAUGUGCUUAAAUGAUGGGAAUCCUACCCACCAUUCCUACAGCUAUAAUACCGUGCAAGCACUUGAUAUAAGUUUCUCCCGUCCUGAAAUUUUCCACAAAUGCAAAUGGCAAAUAUUAAAAAGUAUUGGAAGUGAUCAUUUGCCUAUUUUGAUAGAAAUUAGCACCAAGACCAAAACCAGCUCAAUUAAAGAAAAAUUCUGGAACUUCAAAAAAGCUAAUUGGAAUCUUUACCAGCAAAACACCAAUGAAGACUUUAGAAAAACACCCACUAGAAUAAAAGAUCUGGAACAAAAUUGGAUAUCUUUCAAAAACACCAUUAUUAAAGCAGCCAAAGUUUCAAUACCAAGAGGUAAUUAAGAAAUGGAUUCCAAAUUAUACACACCAGGCAAAAGAUAUUCAAACACUUAUAACUAAAAUAAAUGAACUACAAAAAAGUGCACCCAAAACCAAACAAAUUGUAGAACUGAACUGAACUGAACAUUGUGAAUGCAAAAAUAAAAAUAUUAUACGUAAAUAUGAAAAGGGAAAAAUGGAAACACACUUGUGAAAACCUGAACCCAAGAAACCCAAAUACAAAACUUUGGCAUUUGGCUAAACAAAUUGACAGAGCCCAGCCACAAACUGGAAACACAAAUAUGAUUAAGAAUACAGAUGGUACCCCAGCAACUAAUGACAAAAAUGCUGCUAAUCUUUUAGGUAAUUCAUAUCAAAUAAGUAGUAAAAUCAAAUUUGAAAUAAAAAAUUAGAAAGUUGAAAAAAGGCCCGAAAGAUUAUCCAUGACUGUAAAAACAUCACUAGCACUCAUAAUAUUUUCCAUGAAAAAAUCAGUAUGAAAGAGCUAGGUUGUGCAUUAGAAAACAAUGACCUGAACAAGACUCCCGGGCCAGAUGGAAUCCAUGGCCAAAUGAUAUCAAACUUGGGCAAAAAUGGAAAAGAAAGACUUCUUGAUAUUUUCAAUAACUCCUGGAAAACUGGAAAAUUGCCUCAAGACUGGAAAACUGCAACAAUAAUUCCUAUUAAAAAACUUGACAAAUCUGCUGAUGACCCAAAAAACUACCGACCUAUCUCCCUCACAAGUAUUUGCUCCAAAUUAAUGGAAAAAAUUAUACUCAGACGAGACUCACCUACCACCUCGACACAAGAAAUCUCUUACCAGAAGAACAAUAUGGAUUUAGGAAAGGACAUGGGACAAUAGACCAACUCUUAUUUUUCACACAAAAGGUAAAAGAUGCACAAAACAGAACACCAACUAACCACACAAUAGCUGCUUUUUUAUACCUUACACAAGCUUUUGAUAAAGUAUGGAAAAACAAGUUAAUUACAAAAUUAUACAAACAUUUCAAAAUUGAUGGAACAGCUAUCACUUGGAUAAAUGAUUUCCUUAACACUUUGAGCCCGUGAGAAAAAGAAGGGCAAAUUCCGCUGGGAUGCGCAUUUUUGAGUGUUGUUAAAAAAUUCAUAAAUCACAAAAUUGAUUACUUACAUUAAUUAUUUUAUUUGAAAUUACUUAUAUACCCUUUCUAGUAACUUAUAAGACUGCAAAAUUUUUUUUAUAAAUGAUUAAAAAAUUAAUAUGAGACAUAUAAAAUAGGUAAAAAUAUACAAAAAAAUUGAAUUCACUCCAUAAUAUAUGGUUGCAAAAAUAUAUGUAUAUAGCAUAUCUAGAUGAAGAAAAUAAAAAAUAUGUAGGGAAAUAAAAUAAAGAAAUCAAAUAAUAUUGAGAUUAAGCCCAAAAAUUUUCUUUGGUGUGGUAAAUCUUGAAGCAGUCAACUAGACAAAGUGGGACCAAACAGGUCUCACACAUAUAUGCAGUAUCCUUCCUUGCUCUAUUUCCUGUUUUUCUUUUUCCUUUUUCGGAACAGACUUUACAUUUUCUCUGAAUAUAUGGCCUUCUUUCCCUUCCACUUUGAUUCUGGUUAUAAAAUGCUUCCCCAAAAGCCUAUCUGGGGAACCAGAAGCACCUUGCUGCUCAUCCAACAUUUCAACACCUGCCUCUUCAAAUAAUUUUUCUAAAAUUCUCAAAUUGAAUUCUCUUAGGUUCAAUUUCUUGUCCUGGUUCAAUUUAUUGUAAAUAAUUUGUGAAUUUACGAUACCAAGGUUGAAAAGGUGGAAAAAUACCUUUUUCCACCACUUCAUUGUCCUACGAUAGAAAGGGUAAUAGGACAUGUAUUGAUCACUUCGAUCAACACCAGCUUUAUUUUUGUUGUAAUCAACAACCACCGCUGGUUUCAUUGUUAGCUCUGGUUCUGGAGUUCUUUUAGAUCUUUUAGGUGCCUGAAUCAUUUCUGCCUCUUGAUUUGUAGAGAGCAUAAAUACCUCUCUGGUGUCCCGCCAUUUCAUUGCAAGAAGGGGUCCUUUUUGUUGGAUGAUGGCUUCACCUUUUUUGAGUUUUUUAGAAAAAGCCUUUUUUGGCAAGCCUUUUCUAUUUUGCAUUACUGUACCAACAGCAAUAGUUUUCUUGCUCCAUAAGUGUUCAAACAGUUGUGGAGAAGAAAACCAGCGGUCAAAGUAAAUGAUAUGCCCCUUUUCAAAAUUUGAUUCAGCCAAUCUUCCAACCAAACUCAUUAUGGAGUUGUACUCUGCAGCUUUAUCAGGGUGUUUUCCUGUAUACACAUCAAUAUUGCAUGUGUAUCCAGUACUGGCCUCACACAAUUGGUACAUUUUUAUUUCAUAUUUGUGAGGCUUUCCUUUGAUGUACACUCUGAAAUGGAUUCUCCCACGAAAUGGGCAUAUAGCCUCAUCAAUGGUAAGCUUCACAUCUGGUUGGUAAACAUUUUUGAAUUUAUGAACGAGAGGGUCGAAAAAUGUCCGUAGUUUGUGAAGAGGGUCAUAUCCAGGUUGUCCAUAGGCAAUAUAAGUUGCAUUGUCAUUGAGAUGCAGCAUAGAAAGAAUGGCUUCAAACCUUUCCCUUUUCAUGCCUGUUGAUUUGCAGAAAGAUGAUUUGAUGCCUAUGUGAGUUGACCAAUAAUCUCUUAUCCUUGGCUUCACAACAAGGCUCAUAUGUAUUAUAAUGGCAAGAAAGAGUUUUAGUUCUCCUACCGAAAUGGCUUUCCAUUUAUCCAAAAAACCUCUAGGGCUCAAAGGGCCUUUUUUCCUUUCCCUAUCAAUAUUUGCUCUUGCAUACUUAUUAGUUUCAAGUUUUACGUUUCUGAAAACUCUUCAUCAAAAAUAACUUGAAUACUGAAUAGGGAGAAGUGUCGGGAAAAUAGGCACUAUUUGGACCAUGAGGAGAAGAAAAAGAAGGUUUAGGAAAAGGGUCACCGACCUCGGUCCAUUCUCCAUCCUCAGAAGUGAUUUUUUUGGCAGGAGCAACAUCUUCUUCAAAAUAAAUUUCAGUUGCAUCUGAAUCAUAUUCAUCCAAAACAAAAUCUGGAUCAAUAACAGAAUCGUCACCAAACUCCUCAGGUUCUGUAAUUGGAGCUAUUCCUGAGGUACUGGGUUGAUCAAGAUCCAUUUUAGAAGAGAGUGCAAAAAAAAAAAAUGGCAAUAAAUAAAAUAACAACCGUCCAGGAAGCUAGCGGCAGGAGGAAGAAACGUGAGCUGAAGUGACGUCAUGGAAAAAUCCUCCAAUGGGGCCCCUUUCACCCUCCCCUGCGUGUGACCUUGAGCACUGACGUAGACAAAUGAUGCAGCUAUUUGAUGGCAGAAGCCCGAAGGACGUGAAUUAUGCCACGAUUUUAUGCCACGUGGAUCCACGUCCUGCGGGCUUCAGGCUUAUAUUUCUUGGACGUGGAUCCAUGUCCUACGGGCUCAAUGUGUUAAAAAUAGAUACAUCAGGGUCAAAUAUAAUGGCACUCUAUCUAAAACCUUCAAAUUGUACCAAGGAUUACCACAAGGAUCAGUCCUUAGCCCAACUCUCUUCACCCUAUUUAUUGCAGGCAUAGAAGAAAAAAUUUCAGAUAAAACCAAUAUUGGACUUUUCGUUGAUGACAUUAUUCUAUGGAGCAGCAAUACUAACUGGAAAAAAGCAGAAAGAGAUUUGAACAAGACUCUGGAUCCAGAAAUUAACUCGAGUAAACAUAUUGGAGAAGUUAUUAGAAAAGGAAGAGACCGACUAAAAAUCCUGAAAUAUAUUUCAGGAAGAGAGUGGGGAUCCGAUGCAGCCACACUAAAAUUAAUUUACACAUCUCUAAUUAGACCUAUCCUGGAAUAUGGAUAUCAAAUCUAUGGUACAGCAUCUGAAACAAAUCUAAAAUCACUGGAAAGGAUACAACUAAGUGCAGCUAGAAUUAUUACAGGUCUUCGAAAUACCUGCCCUAAUGAUAUUGUACUUUACGAGGCAGACAUUAUGCCCUUAAAGGAUAGAAGAAGCAACAAUCUGCCAAAAUAUAUAAACAAAAUCAAAAGUUAUGGAAACAAACACAGAACUUCCAAUUACAUACUCAAUUGGGAAUCCAAUAUAGGACUCAAAAAAGAAAGCCCUCUUCACCUGGGCAAAAGAAAUGGAUUUUUAAAAUAUAAAGUGGAAAAAAAAAUUAUUUAGCAGAAAUAAUUUCUCCAUGCAAACCACUACAAAAUGUUAUUUUUAAUGCCACUUUAAAUGAACCCACCAACAAACAAUACCAAAAUCCAGAAUACUUAAAACAAUUAUCAUUAGAAAUAAUUAAUAACAUUCCUAAAAAUGCAAUAACUAUCUAUACCGAUGGUAGCAGAGACGAGCUAGGACACACUGGCAGUGGCUGUCUCAUCAAAACCACAAAUGGCAUUGAGAAAAUGAACAGAAGAAACCUAGAAUUUUGCUCAGUCUUCAGAUCAGAACUUAUAGCCAUCUAUGAAGCCUUAAAAUCCAUCAGAAAUACUAAUUAUCAAGAUAUCUGGAUUCUUACUGAUAGUAGAAGUGCCAUACAACGAGACAAAGUAAGCCAGACAAAGUAAGCAGGAACAUAAUUUGUUAUCUCCAAAAACUCAAAAACCUCAAAAAUUCACCUUCAAUGGAUACCCUCACACGUUGGCAUUGAAGGCAAUGAAGCUUCUGAUGUGCUAGCGAAAGAAGGCACAAAAGAACCCUUGCCACAGAAAAAUAAACUUACUUUUAAAGAAAUAGAAACAAUAGUCAAAACAAAAAUAAACAAGAACC